GUGAGGAAUUUUCCGCAAUGGGCGAAAGCCUGACGGAGCAAUGCCGCGUGGGUGAAGAAGGUCUUCGGAUCGUAAAGCCCUUUCGACAGGGACGAUGAUGACGGUACCUGUAGAAGAAGCCCCGGCUAACUUCGUGCCAGCAGCCGCGGUAAUACGAAGGGGGCUAGCGUUACUCGGAAUUACUGGGCGUAAAGGGCGCGUAGGCGGCUCUGUUAGUCAGGCGUGAAAUUCCUGGGCUUAACCUGGGGACUGCGCUUGAUACUGCAGGGCUUGAGGCCGAGAGAGGGUGGUGGAAUUCCCAGUGUAGAGGUGAAAUUCGUAGAUAUUGGGAAGAACACCGGUGGCGAAGGCGACCACCUGGCUCGGUUCUGACGCUGAGGCGCGACAGCGUGGGGAGCAAACAGGAUUAGAAACCCUGGUAGUCC
rnacentral:rRNA from 1 species